AAUGCGUCAUUGUACGAAACAAAUAAUUAUAAGAAAAACUUUAAAGCUCCUAUGUACGCGUUUAGUGUACAGUAACAAUCGCUUUCGUACAGUUAUCUAAAUCUUAGUUAAUCGCAAGUAAGCAGUAAGUCAGUUUUUUCGGGAUAUUCAAAAUGCAAGGAUUUAAGUUAUUGUGUUUGAUACUAUGUAUAUUUGUUGUAAUAGAUCUGAUGGAAAUUAUUUCAGCAAUUAAAUCUGAAGAUAAUCAAACACGGCCCAAUGGAUUUAUAACAAGAUUAUCAAACGCAGGCAACAAGACAAAGGGUGCUACAGCUGGACUUCAAAAACAAGUGUCAAAACUAAAAGGUCGGAUUCAUAAGGAUACCAAUAAGGAUUCUCAAAAGGGACCAGGAAUACUAACAAGGUCAGCAACAAGUUUAAGAAAAAAUGUAACAAAAUUAAGAAACGGAAAAGAGAUACAACAUAACACAAGUUAAAUUUAAGAAAAAUUUUAAAUAUAUAUGUUUAUAUAUUACAGUUUUUGUGUUUAAUUUUAUAGUAUAAAAAUAAAUGGUUUUCAAGCAAAAAAGUUAUUAAACAUGAAACAAAUUACUAACGUAUGUUAUUAUUUUUUAUAUGAUUCUUUGUGCAAUUAUUAAAACACAUCAUCUUACCAGUUAAUGAAAGCUCUGGUAAGAAUAUACAUUUUA